AGCGGCACUGGUUUGCAAAUGAACGAGAACACGGCCAGAAAUUACCUCCUAGCUAAUUUUCCCGGUUCCCGAGCGUGCCGCGUGAUGAAGCAGCGUGGGGUGGCAGCCAAACCCCACGGAGCUGCGAGGGGCUGGGAGCGGCGCCGUGCAGAGCCGGGGCAUGGAGCCCUGCCCUGUCCCUCCCCUGGCCGGGGCGGCCACCACGGGUGGGGAUGGACGGUGUGACGCCGGGCCGGGGUGGUGCCCAGCACCCCUGGCAACCGGCUGCAGCUUGUCCCAAACACAGAGAGCCAUGGGCAUGCACGGACACCUCACCUUCCUCCUCCUCAGCCUCUAUGCCCCGGGUGACACUGCGUGCUGGUGCAGAGCUCGAUGCCCGCCGGGUCAACCUGUACACACUGAUCCUGCGGGCUGCUUGUCCUGGUGAGAAUGAGGUGGAAGAGCGGCUCUUUGUCUGGGUGACAGCAGGGCAUGUGCUGCGCUGUGACACCCUCUUUGCCAGUGCAGAGGGUGAUCUGGUGCAGGUGCUGGCAGAUGUGGCACCCCGGACACCCCUGUAUGUGGUGCUGCCACAGCCACUUGGUGGACUGACGUUCAAGCUCCAAAACCGCAACACACCACUCACGCUCACACGCCGGGGCCUGUUGCUGGCACCUGACAAUGGUUUUGACCCCAGCAAGGACAUCCAGGUGGGCACCAGCAGCCCCAGGCUGGUCACAGCCACCUCUCAGCCCUCUGGGGCUUAGCCCCUCCCUGGCCACAGCUCUCCACAUCCUGUUCUGCCCAUUAGGCCCCUGUCUCCCUCUGGACCCAUAAAUGCUCCAGCCCGGGUCUCAUCCCCUUCUGCAUCUCAAGUCCUGUCCACAUUCUCAUCCCUGUCUGUAUUCCUGCCCAUUCUAGUCUCCAGCUCAUACUCAUCUCCAUCUCCAC
rnacentral:lncRNA from 1 species